rnacentral:lncRNA from 1 species
AGAAUAUUGAGUCAUUUUCCUGUUACCAUUUUUACUUAAAGAGCUAAAAAGUGUAAUAAGCAAUAUUCAUUUGACAAUGGUUAUGAAAUGACUUUAUAAAUUCUGUGUGUUUUUAUUUCAACAAAAAAAAUUUUUUUUUGCAAUUUUUUGGUGCAGUACACACUCAGAAGGGCUAAUGUGCUUGGUGUCUAAUCUGCUGAUAUUACCUACGUUGGUCUCUUUUAUACUUUAGUAUAUGUCUGUGGGUCAGGGAGAGCAUGAUGUUUGUUCUGUCUUCCAGCUUUCAAAGUUUUAUUUCCCAAAGCACCAAAGAGUAAAUAACUUAGAAGAGGAGAAAAGCCUGCCACCGUGUCUUACUAAUGAAGAGGAUCUUGGCUGUUUUCAGGAUGUUCUCCACAAUAAGAUACAUCAGAAAGGGAUGUCGGGUCUCGUGUUGAUGAGCAAGCUCGCCAGAACACGGUACCAUGCACGGAGCGCGGGCUCAGGCCGUGGAGUCAGGCAUGCUGGAGUGCUCUUUCGAAGCUCAGGCACCACCCACUGGGCAAACUCAUGGAUGCUUGUUCCGGUGUGUUCCUGUCGAGAGCUUAUUGGGAGUGGGAACUCAGACAGCUCACGGAGCCCUGCUGACCAUUAUCUUCACAUUCAGGUCUGCGUUGUGGGAGCUGCUCUCUAUUUUCUCGCUUAGUGAACACUCUUAAUAAAAGAAAAUGUUGACAGCUUUGUGUUUCUUGAGAAUCACUAAGGAAACAUUUCAUCUUGUCAAUCUCCUUUCAUGUGCUGUGCAGGAAAAGAGAAUGGGAAUAUUGCUUUGGAGAAUAGCCUUGACUUUCAACAUGCAUUUAACAAUCAGUAUUUUCUUGAGUACCUACUAUGUGUUGGAGUAUUUGCUAGUCAUUACCAGUCAGACAAAGAUGAAUGUAGUUAAGUCCCUGUCCUUAGAGAGAGCUUAACAUAUUUUCAUUUUACAAUCCAUUGCCUCGUUAGAAGGGCUAUAAAAGGGAUACAGAUGAAGUAAUAAGGGAAUUUGUAUCAUUUGAACUUCUUCACGUGGCUCACUCCAUGGGUUCUGGAACUAGGCAGAUCUGAGUUUGAACACUAUCGCCCAUGACAUUGGCUGGCACAAUGUAUUUUAAGCUACAUCUCCAUUUCUCUCAAUUUUUAAAUGAGGAUAAUGACACCUACCUUGUAGGGCUGUUGAAAAUGAGUAAAUGAGAUACUGUGUGUACAAUGUAAGGCAGUGCCUGAUACUAUGGUAAAAAAAAAAUAAAAUCAGCCAAGUGUGGUGGUGUGCACCUGUAGUCUCAGGUACUUGAGGCUGAGGCAGGAGGAUUGCUUGAGCCUGGGAGGCAGAUGUUGCAGAGAGCUGAGAUCACAACACUGCACUCCAGCCUAGGUGACAGAGGGAGACCCUGUCCAAAAAAAAAAAAAAAAAAAAAAAGCUUCUUCAGCUGUGUUGUAGCUCUGGUAUGUAAAGAAAUUUAACACAUGGGAGUGACCAUAUAACUGUGAAGAUUUUUUUUUUUAACUAAUUUUUAAAAUUUACAUGCAAGUGAUUCUUGAUUUCUUUAAAGAAUGAUAACACAGGAGAGGUGUUAUUCAGAGGCUACCCACCAAUAUUUUGGCCUUUCUCUUUCCAGGAACCUGGCAUGGUCACACUUCUCCAACCCCUUGGAAGGUGGGUAUACCAUGUGACUUUAUUUAACUAAUGGAAUGUGAGCAGAAGUGACUUGUGUCACUUCCAGGAGAAAGCUUCUAAAUAUUCCACUUGUACUGCCACCACUAUUAUGGAAGUGAAUGUUGAGAUGGGGCUUGUGUCAGCCUAGGCCCAUGAGAUAUCACAAGGAAUACAGUCCCUGUGGUAAUCCAUGUGAAAAGUAUAGGAGGGGUGAGAAGUGGAUUUUUUAUUUUGCAUUGUACCAUUGAGAUUUUGCAGUCCUCUCUUCAUGGUCUGCCUAGACUAACAUAGGAGAUUGCACACCUAUUGCAACAAUUAUGUCUUUACUUAAACCAUUUAAGGAUUCUUCAGGUGGUAUUGCUGUCAAGGGCAGUAUCUGACAACCACGCUCUCAUUGUAAAGCCAUACUUGCUUUCUGCCCCAUAGUAGUAUUGGCAGGCUUGACUCUCUGUUUUAUUCAUUAGAUUUGACUCUGCAUCUGGUGAAAAGAAUAGAUUGACUAUCAUUGAG